GUGGGCACUCCUGAGGCUGCAGAGCAGAAGAGACCACCAACACUGUCCACACCUGCCCACAUCCCUGGCCCAAGAGGAAACUGUAUAAGGCCUCUGGGUUGCCAUGGGGGAGGGCCCAGGAGUGGCAGGACCCCUGCGCAUGAGACACCACCGGAACCUGAAGGAACAGACCAGAUAAACAGUUCUCUCCACCCAAAUCCCGUGGGAGGGAGAACUAAACCUUCAGAGAGGCAGACAGGCCUGGGAAACCAGAAGAGACUGCACUCUGCACACAUCUCGGACGCCAGAGGAAAACACCAAACGCCAUCUGGAACCCUGGUGCACUGAAGCUCCCGGAAACGGCAGCUCAGAUCUUCCUGGUUGCUACCACCGCAGAGAGCUCAAGGGCAGCACCCCGCGAGCAAACUUGAGCCUCGGGACCACAAGUAAGACCAACUUUUCUGCUGCAAGUGACCUACCUGGUGAACUCAAGACACAGGCCCACAGGAACAGCUGAAGACCUGUAGAGAGGAAAAACUACACGCCCGAAAGCAGAACACUCUGUUCCCAUAACUGGCUGAAAGAAAACAGGAAAA
rnacentral:lncRNA from 1 species